AACCAUAGAAACCUGCGGAGUACCUGCGGAAGGAUCAUUACAAGUUUUUCUUUUUGUGGUAGGAUCUUAUAUAAAGAUCCGAAGCAAAAAUAUUCACGCAUGUUGUGUUUGACAGAGUUAUUAUAUGAGACUUAAAAUUUUAAAAAACUUUUAACAACGGAUCU
rnacentral:misc_RNA from 1 species